rnacentral:rRNA from 1 species
GACAGGUGGUGCAUGGUUGUCGUCAGCUCGUGUCGUGAGAUGUUGGGUUAAGUCCCGCAACGAGCGCAACCCUUGUUGCUAGUUGCUACGCAAGAGCACUCUAGUGAGACUGCCGUUGACAAAACGGAGGAAGGUGGGGAUGACGUCAAAUCAUCAUGCCCCUUAUGACCUGGGCUACACACGUACUACAAUGGCUGUUAACAGAGGGAGGCAACACCGCGAGGUGAAGCGAAACCCGAAAAACAGUCCCAGUUCAGAUUGCAGGCUGCAACUCGCCUGUAUGAAGUCGGAAUUGCUAGUAAUCGCAGAUCAGCAUGCUGCGGUGAAUACGUUCCCGGGCCUUGUACACACCGCCCGUCACACCAUGAGAGUUGGCAACACCCGAAGUCGGUAGUCUAACCGCAAGGAGGACGCCGCCGAAGGUGGGGUUGACGAUUGGGGUGAAGUCGUAACAAGGUAGCCGUAUCGGAAGGUGCGGCUGGAUCACCUCCUUUCUAUGGAG